rnacentral:misc_RNA from 1 species
AACGCACGAGACCUGCGGACCUGCGGAAGGAUCAUUACAAAUCUUUGCGAGUGCUGCGUGCGUAACUGUGCGUGGCAACUCACACAUUAGCACAAGGUCGCAAGGCCUUGAUGUUUACGCUUGUUUGUUUGACAGAGUUAGUUGAGACAAUAAAAAAGACAACUUUUAACAACGGAUCUCU